UUGGGGUCAGUGGGUAGACCAGUCCUCUGAAGAGGGCAGACGCAGCAGGCUGGUCUACCAAUUUUUAGACCAGCUCUCCCCGAAAAAAAACAGGAGAGUUGGUUUAGUUAUUGGGAUCAGUGGAUACAGCAGCCUUCUGCUCUGGACUUAGCAUGUCAGCCCACCUUGGGCAACUGGUCUAGCCAGGUAGAUUGUUCAUUCAGGGGUUGUAGUGAAUGAAUGGAUCAAGCAAGAAGAAAGGCAGCUGUGGUUGCUGGGGUAUAUAAGGGCAGAACUGCCACAGAGGGUAUCAUUUUUGUUUUUUAACAAGGGAAGUGGGGUGAAGGAGAGGGCACUGGCCUGCUUGAGCCGGGGGCAUAACAAGGUUGCUGGCAGCCCCAGGACAAAUUGCUGAGGCCGCUGAGGCCAGGCAUGCUAUCCCAUGUCAGCCACACUCGUUUCCCCUUCUCAUUCUUCACCAGCUGGAUGCUUCCUUUUCCUCCCACAUUUGCUGGAGGGGGAAGUGGUGUGGCCAGUGCAGGGUAGAGUACCUGGCCUCAGCAGCAGGGGGCAGUGGGAAGAAUGGCGGGAUAAAAGGGUAAUGGAGUACAGGGGGUUUAGAAGGCACAUUGGUGGCCUCCGGACCCCUAUGGCCCAAGGAUAUUUGUCCCCCAACUCCAUUAUCCCUAUACACCUGGCAUGAGCUCUGAAUAAUUUAGAGUAACUUGGAUAUGAGUAUUAGGGUCAAGGACAUUUUUGCAACAAGUCUAAAAACAUCUCCUCCCCACACUAUAUGCUAGCACCCCAGCUACAGAGCAACAAUAUGUGAAGGUUCAGGGUUGGCAACCAGCCCCAAUCCUGAGUCCUUUAGUGCUAUAAAGCACAGUGUGGGAAAAGUUUCAGGUGGGAAAGAAAGAAAUGGUCCUUUUUUGAACCCCUUAGGGAUGCUACAACAUUUGUGUUUCAGGCUGACUGGAGCCCUAAACAGGAGCAGACCUAUAUGCUGGUGGGGAUACAACAUUUUGCUUUCUGGUCACCAUACCUUAAGAAGGACAUUAUAGAAUUGGAGAAGGUGCAGAAGAGGGCAAUCAAGAUAAUCAGGAGUCUAGAGCACCUUCCUUACGAGGGAGAGGAGUUCCAUGCAAGACAACAGAAUCCAUUGUGAGAUGAACUUAGUCACUUUAGGAAUAGAGAAGAAAAGAAAAUUCGAUCUUUUUUCACCUCCUUCCUGCUGCUGAGAGAAUCACUGCCUGCCUGUGCCUGCUGUCAGUGCCAGCCAACAGCCCCAGAGCCCCUGUGGCCACUGGCCACCUGGUCAGCCCCCCCGAUUUUCCAGAUUUUCCCAGGCCCCCCCAUCAGAAAACUGAAGAAGGAGAAGAAGACUGAAGAAGAAAGAGUAGAUUCAGAGACCAGACCACAGAAGUGGAAAACUGGACACAACGUGGGUGAAGCCCUA